rnacentral:rRNA from 1 species
UACGGAGGGUGCGAGCGUGUCCGGAAUCACUGGGCGUAAAGGGCGCGUAGGCGGCGCGGUAAGCGGGCGGUGAAAGCCCGGGGCUCAAACCCCGGGGUCGGCCGCUGCGGACUGCCGCGCUGGAGCACUGUAGAGGCGGGUGGAAUUCCGGGUGUAGCGGUGGAAUGCGCAGAUAUCGGGAGGAACACCGGUGGCGAAGG